rnacentral:rRNA from 1 species
UACGUAGGGUGCGAGCGUUAAUCGGAAUUACUGGGCGUAAAGCGUGCGCAGGCGGUUAUGUAAGACAGAUGUGAAAUCCCCGGGCUCGACCUGGGAACUGCAUUUGUGACUGCAUGGCUAGAGUACGGUAGAGGGGGAUGGAAUUCCGCGUGUAGCAGUGAAGUGCGUAGAUAUGUGGAGGAAUACCGAUGGCGAAGGCAGCCCCCUGGGAUAACACUGACGCUCAUGCACGAAAGCGUGGGGAGCAAACAGG